GAUGAAGAACGCAGCGAAAUGGGAUAAGUAAUGUGAAUUGCAGAAUUCAGUGAAUCAUCGAAUCUUUGAACGCACAUUGCGCCCGGUAGUAUUCUGCCGGGCAUGCCUGUUCGAGCGUCAUUUCAACCAUCAAGCCCCAGCGCUUGUGUUGGGGGCCUGCGGCUGCCGCAGCCCCCUAAAAGCAGUGGCGGGCUCGCUAUCACACCGAGUGCAGUAGUUCAUCUUCUCUCCGGUCUUGUGAGGCGGGUUCCGGCCGUGAAACACCCCACUACAUUCAAGGUUGACCUCGGAUCAGGCAGGAAUACCCGCUGAACUUAAGCAUAUCAAUAAGCGGAGGA
rnacentral:misc_RNA from 1 species